GAUUGUACCAUGUACUUGGGGUGGUUUUCAAAAAAAAAAAAAUCCCAUUCUCAUUCUCCUUCAUACAUGUGUCCAUUCCCCAAGAUACAACCCUUAUUCCUCUAGAGUUUCACGGGAGAAGGAUUAGGUAGUUGAGAUGCGGACGAUCACCAGUGUGGGAGGUGUCAGACUGAAUGGAGAGCGACGGUGAAGGUGGUUACGAGGUUUGGUGGCGGCGGUGUUGCGGGGUUGCAGAACCGGAAGUUGUGAUGGUGGUUUUUGUUGGACAACAGCCGCAACCCAAGUGGUGGUGUCGACGGCGGUGAUUUUUGUUAAAGAUUGAUGGUGGUUAGAAACCCUAGCUACUCCAUCCGGUGAUGGAGGCUAUGGUUCCGGUGAGAUUCUGACCAACUAACUCUGUUGUACAGUAUUGUCCGAUCAGCAAAGGAACAAGAUUUGGGUGUUAGAACAGGGUCGUCUUCAUCAUUGAAUUGAAGAGGGUGUUAUGUAUGUUAUGGGGAGACGUAUGAGCAUCAGGCAUGAUUAUACUUUCUUUAUAAGUUGAUUUUUGUCUUCAUUAAUGCUUACACAUGAAUAUCUAAACCUUUCUUUGUUCUAGCAGAUUUGCAAACUAAAUUUUUUAAUUGCCUAUGUUCAUAAUUAUCGAUGAUUGAUAUUGUCAGAAAAGAAAGAAUACUGUGCUUGAGGUUAGUGUUGAUUUUUUUUUAUUUGAGUUGAAUUUCAAA